rnacentral:rRNA from 1 species
AUUGAACGCUGGCGGCGUGCUUAACACAUGCAAGUCGAUCGGUAACGCGGGGGCAACCCUGGCGACGAGAGGCGGACGGGUGAGGAACGCUUGGGAAUCUGCCUAUCAGCGGGGGACAACCCGGGGAAACUCGGGCUAAUACCGCAUACGCUCUACGGAGGAAAGCCGGGGACCGCAAGGCCUGGCCCGGAUAGAUGAGCCCAAGUCGGAUUAGCUAGUUGGCGGGGUAACGGCCCACCAAGGCGACGAUCCGUAGCUGGUCUGAGAGGACGAUCAGCCACACUGGGACUGAGACACGGCCCAGACUCCUACGGGAGGCAGCAGUGGGGAAUAUUGGACAAUGGGGGAAACCCUGAUCCAGCGACGCCGCGUGGGUGAAGAAGGCCUGCGGGUUGUAAAGCCCUUUCGGUAGGGACGAAAGCUCUCGACCUAACACGUCGGGAGGUUGGCUUAACCUACAAAAGAAGCACCGGCUAACUCUGUGCCAGCCGCCGCGGUAAUAC